rnacentral:lncRNA from 10 species
AACAGAGACAAGCACCCCAACAGUAGGGUGCUUCGAGGUCCUGGAGGGGAGCCCUGGCCCUGUGGAGAGAGACCGAGUCGUGCAGCGUCCGUGGCCUGCAUUUGAAACUGAAGGGCAAGAGGCUGGUGAGAUCCGAGAGUCAUGCCGCUGCGUGGAGGAACAUGCUGAACCUCUGGAGGAACGGCUCUACCUCCAGGUCAGGCUGGAGGCUUUUGCAUUUGGUUUGGCGAGGAGAGACAGCAGGAUUUCUGGGUGCCGGACAUGCUUCUCGGUCAGAGCUGUAUCUUUUGUGGCUGGCAGACUCUGAGAUGGCCUUCAGUGAUCCACACCUCCUGGUGUUCACAUCCUGUGAAGUCCCCUCCCUUUGGCGUGAGCCGAGCUAGCAACUUGCUUCUAACCAGUAGGAUGCAUCCAAGUUGAUGCUGUGCCUUCCUCCCGUGAUUACAUUAUGUGGGCUUAGAACUUCUUCCUUGACAACAGAUGGUCUCCCCUGCUGGCUGUGGUGGAGCAGGCUGCCAUAUAGAGAGGCCAUGUGGCAAGGAACUGAGGGUGGCCUCCCCCGGCAGCCAGCAUGCAGUUGAAGCCUCAGUCCCAUGGCCACAAGUAACUGGAUGCUACAACAAGCAGAUGACCCUGGAGGACCCCUCCCCCAGAUGACCCUGGAGGACCCCUCCCCAGUCUAGCCUUGAGAUGACACCCCAGCCUGGGCCAAGACUUUGAUGGCAGCUCUGUGAGAGGCCCUGAAGAAGAGAGUCUCUUCUUUACCAGUUAAGCCACAUCUGGAUUCCUAACCUACAGAAACUGUGUGAUAAUAGAAGUCUGUUGUUUGGGGCGAUUUGUUACACAGCAUUAGGUAGCUAAUACAUAGUCUUGCAAGAGUUCGUUUUUUGGCUGAGCAUUAUGUUCUUGAGGUUCAUCUGUGUUGAUACCUGUAGUUGUAGUUCAUCUGUUUUCAUUACUAUGUGCCUUUCCCCUGUAAGUAGUCCCCCCCUUAUCUGCAGGGGAUACAGGGCCCCCAGAAGGUGCCUGAAACUUCAGAUAGUACCAAACCCUGUAUGUACUAUUUAUUUUUUCCUAUGUAUACAUGCCUAUGAGAAAGUUUAGUUUGUAAAUUAGGCACACUGAGAGAUGAACAAUAAUGAAUAAUAAAAUAGAACAAUUAUAGCAC